CACAAUGGCUAAUGUAGAUAGGGCUUGUCCUAGGUCAUAGUCCUAUACGUGUGUUUGGUUUUCCUUGUUCAGCUUCUGUAGUUCGCCCCGGGCGUCCCCUCAAGCACAUGAAGCCACGGGAGACGUCCUGCAGCUCUCUCUGUGUCUCAGCACGUCCGCCGUGGACGGGCGGUCCCUGCUCCUCGUUUGCGGCCAGCUGAGCUGUAUGUGUUACUAGGGCGCAGCCUGACUCCGAGUCGACCCGUCCUCGGUACGGUUCUGGGGCGUCUCACUUCUCAGCGGCGUGCUACGGUCUCGCUGGGUGUCGGGGUCCAGAACACCCACAGACGUUGUCGGAGCUCCUCGGCAGGGUCGUGAGGGAAGCCCGGAGGGGUGUGCUUCCCGUGGCUGCAGGAGUCUGCGGACGGCCCCCGGUUCCACAGCCGUGGAAUGAGCUUGGGCAGCGCCUACCUUAUUGGACAUCAGGCCAAGUGGAGCUCAUGUUUUCCUUCUUCAAGUUAUGCCCCUUACCUGCUGCACAUGCUUGCCUGUCACUAGUGUUUGCAACAGGCUUGAAGUUCCUGGGAUUCCUGUGCCAACCGCAAGUAUAGGAAAGGCUGGUUGGAGGAGGGUGAACUCGAGGGCUGCGCUACUGGGCGGCGUGGGGACAUUUCAGAGGCACAGCGAGGCCGAGCGCCUGGCUAAGGGAACCAGCAAAACAGAUACAACAGAAGAGCAAUGACUCUCAGAAGGAAGAUGGUUAUUGAAAGAAGCCAGCUCUGUCUCUGUCUCCACCACCUCGCUGAAGGACCAGGAGGCCGACGUUUCCGACGGACGUGAGUGCAUCUGCAAAGGUCAUUCUCUGUGACUGUGGCUGUCUUCCUGCAGGCUUAGUUCUCGGACGUGGCUCAGCCACAUCCCUCACACUGGACGCAAGGAAGCGUCUUACAGAGUGCGGGUGAGCCUGUGAUCGCCUCUCUCGGGGUGUGAGUUAACGAGGAAUAGAAAGAAGGAACAUUAAUAGAAGCCAGGUUUUCAUGGUUGCAAACCCAGGGAGUUCAUUAAAACUCAGAGAAAGGAGCUUUCUAACAGCAAUCAUAAAAAUGCUGACCUUGAGACAAGAAUAUUCAAAAAGUAAAUGCAAGUUUCAAAGGCUUGAAUCAGUGCAGUCCCUAGAAUGGCUGAAAUGGCCGUUGAGCAUGGAAAGCUAGUGGUUCCAGUGCUUUUAAACACUGGGGCUGCAUUGCCACUUGACAUUUUAAAUUAUUGUUCGGGAAGGUGGUUGCAAAGAAUUGCCUGGUGAUUUGUUAUUGUUCUGUUGGGUUUUUGUUUUUGGAUAGUCAUUUCGCCUUAAAAUUAGAGAAUGCUGUCAGUGAGAAAUACUCUUUUGGAUACAACAGUUUGAUGAAUGACCGAGAUAGGAAGGAGUCAUCUUCUCUCUGUUUUCCUUUUCUCCCGCAGCCCCACGAUGUGGUGCAUGUCAGGAGGUUAUUGGUCCGAGUCUGCCUCUGUCUCUGCCGGGGACCGCUCUGAGUGUUGAUAGUGUGCUACUGCCUUAGUCUGUCAGGGCAGCUCCCACAGAACUCCGCAGACUGGGGGGGGCUUAUAAACAACAGGCAUUUCUUUCCCACAGGCUGGAGGCCAAAUGUCCUCCAUCAUGACACCGGCAUACUCAGAAUCGGGUGAAGGCCAGCUCCCCGGGUCAAGGACAGCCGUCUUCUCCUGGUGUCCUCGCACGGAGGAAGUGCUGCUGGUCAGGGCACAGAACGGACCAACCACUCCGAAACAGCUGCUCUCGGGACCUUAGGCACCGACGGGCGAGGGAAACAGUGAACAAGGCAGGUGCGUACGGUCCACCUGAGGCUAGAUGGGGUGUGUGGGUUCACGCGGAUCAGUACAGAGGGGAGGGGCCGGUGCCUAGCCAAGACGUACAACUGUGCCGACAGUGGCUGCAGUGUUACUCGGAGAUCGAGCUCUCAAGGGCAACGCGGAUCAGGCCUGCUGGUGGGCGCGGGCCAGUCUGUACACGUUCCCGGUAGUGCGGGUGGUCCUGGGUCGUCUGCAAAGCUGUGGCCAGUGCAGAUGUCCGUGGGCAGUUUAGAUGGCCAUGGGCGGUGUAAAUAGUGGUGGACAGUGUAGAUGGCGGAAGGCAGUGUAGAUGGCCGUGGGCGGUGUACAUGGUCGUGGGCAGUGUUCAUGGCUGUGGACAGUGUAGAUGUCCAUGAGCAGGACUGGCGCCGGCGUGGGCAGUGUCGAUGGCCCUGGGCAGGCCUGGCACCCGUGUGGGCAGUGUAGAUGGCCAUGGCAGUGUACAUGUCCAUGAGUAGUCCUGGUGCUGGUGUGGGUAGUGUCGAUGGCCAUGAGCAGUGUAGAUGGCCGUGGAUUGUGUAGAUGAUUGUGGGCAGUGAAGAUGGCCAUGGGCAGGUUGGUGCUGGCAUGGGUAGGAUAGACAGCCGUGGGCAGUGUAGACGGCUGUGGGCAGGUCUGGCGCUGGUGUGGAUAGUGUAGAUGACUGUGGGCAUUGUAGACAGCAUGGGCAGGCCUGGCGCUGGUGUAAGCAGUGUAGAUGACUGUGGGCAGUGUAAUUGGCCAUGGGAAGGCCUGGUACUGCUUGGUCAGUGUAGAUGGCCGUGGGUAUUGCAGAUGGCCAUGGGCCGUGGAGAUGGCCGUGGGCAGGCCUGGUGCUGCCGUGGGCAGUGUAGAUGGUUGUGGGCAGCCCUGGCACCAGCCUAUAUAGUGUAGAUGGCCGUGGUCAGUGUAGAUACCGUGGGCAGUCUAGAUGGCUGUGGGCAGUCCAGGUGACCUUGGGAAGUCUAGAUGACUGUGGGCAGUCUAGGUGGCCAUGGAUAGUUUAGAUGACCAUGGGUAAUGUACAUGGCUAUAGGCAGGUACAUGGUCCUGAGUGGGCCUAGCACUGGUGUGGGUAUUGUAGAUGGCCAUGGGCAGUCUAGAUGGAUGUGGGUACUGUAGAUGGCUGUGGGCAGGCCUGGCGCUGGUGUGGGUAGUAUAGAUGGCCGUAGGCAGUGUAGAUACCAUGGACUGUCUAGAUGGCCGUGGGCAGUGCAGAUGGCCUUGGGCAGUCUAGACGACCGUAGACAGUUUACAUGACUGUGGGCAAUGUACAUGGU